UACGUAGGGUGCAAGCGUUGUCCGGAAUUAUUGGGCGUAAAGAGCUCGUAGGCGGUGUGUCGCGUCGGCCGUGAAAACCCGGAGCUCAACUCCGGGCCUGCAGUCGAUACGGGCAGACUGGAGUUCGGCAGGGGAGACGUGGAAUUCCGUGGUGGUAGCGGUGAAAAUUGCGCAGAUAUCAGGAGGAACACCGGUGGCGAAGGCGGUUCUCUGGGCAUGUCCUGACGUGAGGAGCGAAAGUGUGGGGAGGCGAAACAGGG
rnacentral:rRNA from 1 species